rnacentral:rRNA from 1 species
ACUCUAAGCGGUGGAUCACUCGGCUCAUGGGUCGAUGAAGAACGCAGCAAACUGUGCGUCAUCGUGUGAACUGCAGGACACAUGAACAUCGACAUUUUGAACGCAUAUCGCAGUCCAUGCUGUUAUGUACUUUAAUUAAUUUUAUAGUGCUGCUUGGACUACAUAUGGUUGAGGGUUGUAAGACUAUGCUAAUUAAGUUGCUUAUAAAUUUUUAUAAGCAUAUGGUAUAUUAUUGGAUAAAUAUAAUAAUUUUUAUUCAUAAUAUUAAAAAAUAAAUGAAAAACAUUAUCUCACAUUUGAAUGUGAAAAACGAAGAGAAAUAUUUUCUUUUUCAAUCAAAUAAUACUGAGAAAUGUCUAGCAUAAAAAAUUGAAAUAUUUUUCAUCUAGAAUUGUCUCUUAUUAAUGAUUCGGAAAUAGAAAAAUCUUGGUUAUGUUAUUAUUCUUCGUUGGUUCGUUAAAAAUGGAUAAAUAAAAACUUUGCAUACAAGAAUUAAUAAAAAUGUUAUAACGAAUUUAAUUAAAUGUUUUAUCAUUAUAUAUAAAGAAUUUAUGGCAAGAUAAAGUUAUAUACAACCUCAACUCAUAUGGGACUACCCCCUGAAUUUAAGCAUAUUAAUUAGGGGAGGAAAAGAAACUAACAAGGAUUUUCUUAGUAGCGGCGAGCGAAAAGAAAACAGUUCAGCACUAAGUCACUUUGUCUAUAUGGCAAAUGUGAGAUGCAGUGUAUGGAGCGUCAAUAUUCUAGUAUGAGAAAUUAACGAUUUAAGUCCUUCUUAAAUGAGGCCAUUUACCCAUAGAGGGUGCCAGGCCCGUAUAACGUUAAUGAUUACUAGAUGAUGUUUCCAAAGAGUCGUGUUGCUUGAUAGUGCAGCACUAAGUGGGUGGUAAACUCCAUCUAAAACUAAAUAUAACCAUGAGACCGAUAGUAAACAAGUACCGUGAGGGAAAGUUGAAAAGAACUCUGAAUAGAGAGUUAAACAGUACGUGAAACUGCUUAGAGGUUAAGCCCGAUGAACCUGAAUAUCCGUUAUGGAAAAUUCAUCAUUAAAAUUGUAAUAUUUAAAUAAUAUUAUGAGAAUAGUGUGCAUUUUUUCCAUAUAAGGACAUUGUAAUCUAUUAGCAUAUACCAAAUUUAUCAUAAAAUAUAACUUAUAGUUUAUUCCAAUUAAAUUGCUUGCAUUUUAACACAGAAUAAAUGUUAUUAAUUUGAUAAAGUGCUGAUAGAUUUAUAUGAUUACAGUGCGUUAAUUUUUCGGAAUUAUAUAAUGGCAUAAUUAUCAUUGAUUUUUGUGUUUAUUAUAUGCACUUGUAUGAUUAACAAUGCGAAAGAUUCAGGAUACCUUCGGGACCCGUCUUGAAACACGGACCAAGGAGUCUAACAUAUGUGCAAGUUAUUGGGAUAUAAACCUAAUAGCGUAAUUAACUUGACUAAUAAUGGGAUUAGUUUUUUAGCUAUUUAUAGCUAAUUAACACAAUCCCGGGGCGUUCUAUAUAGUUAUGUAUAAUGUAUAUUUAUAUUAUUUAUGCCUCUAACUGGAACGUACCUUGAGCAUAUAUGCUGUGACCCGAAAGAUGGUGAACUAUACUUGAUCAGGUUGAAGUCAGGGGAAACCCUGAUGGAAGACCGAAACAGUUCUGACGUGCAAAUCGAUUGUCAGAAUUGAGUAUAGGGGCGAAAGACCAAUCGAACCAUCUAGUAGCUGGUUCCUUCCGAAGUUUCCCUCAGGAUAGCUGGUGCAUUUUAAUAUUAUAUAAAAUAAUCUUAUCUGGUAAAGCGAAUGAUUAGAGGCCUUAGGGUCGAAACGAUCUUAACCUAUUCUCAAACUUUAAAUGGGUAAGAACCUUAACUUUCUUGAUAUGAAGUUCAAGGUUAUGAUAUAAUGUGCCCAGUGGGCCACUUUUGGUAAGCAGAACUGGCGCUGUGGGAUGAACCAAACGUAAUGUUACGGUGCCCAAAUUAACAACUCAUGCAGAUACCAUGAAAGGCGUUGGUUGCUUAAAACAGCAGGACGGUGAUCAUGGAAGUCGAAAUCCGCUAAGGAGUGUGUAACAACUCACCUGCCGAAGCAACUAGCCCUUAAAAUGGAUGGCGCUUAAGUUGUAUACCUAUACAUUACCGCUAAAGUAGAUGAUUUAUAUUACUUGUGAUAUAAAUUUUGAAACUUUAGUGAGUAGGAAGGUACAAUGGUAUGCGUAGAAGUGUUUGGCGUAAGCCUGCAUGGAGCUGCCAUUGGUACAGAUCUUGGUGGUAGUAGCAAAUAAUCGAAUGAGACCUUGGAGGACUGAAGUGGAGAAGGGUUUCGUGUGAACAGUGGUUGAUCACGAGUUAGUCGGUCCUAAGUUCAAGGCGAAAGCCGAAAAUUUUCAAGUAAAACAAAAAUGCCUAACUAUAUAAACAAAGCGAAUUAUAAUACACUUGAAUAAUUUUGAACGAAAGGGAAUACGGUUCCAAUUCCGUAACCUGUUGAGUAUCCGUUUGUUAUUAAAUAUGGGCCUCGUGCUCAUCCUGGCAACAGGAACGACCAUAAAGAAGCCGUCGAGAGAUAUCGGAAGAGUUUUCUUUUCUGUUUUAUAGCCGUACUACCAUGGAAGUCUUUCGCAGAGAGAUAUGGUAGAUGGGCUAGAAGAGCAUGACAUAUACUGUUGUGUCGAUAUUUUCUCCUCGGACCUUGAAAAUUUAUGGUGGGGACACGCAAACUUCUCAACAGGCCGUACCAAUAUCCGCAGCUGGUCUCCAAGGUGAAGAGUCUCUAGUCGAUAGAAUAAUGUAGGUAAGGGAAGUCGGCAAAUUAGAUCCGUAACUUCGGGAUAAGGAUUGGCUCUGAAGAUUGAGAUAGUCGGGCUUGAUUGGGAAACAAUAACAUGGUUUAUGUGCUCGUUCUGGGUAAAUAGAGUUUCUAGCAUUUAUGUUAGUUACUUGUUCCCCGGAUAGUUUAGUUACGUAGCCAAUUGUGGAACUUUCUUGCUAAAAUUUUUAAGAAUACUAUUUGGGUUAAACCAAUUAGUUCUUAUUAAUUAUAACGAUUAUCAAUUAACAAUCAAUUCAGAACUGGCACGGACUUGGGGAAUCCGACUGUCUAAUUAAAACAAAGCAUUGUGAUGGCCCUAGCGGGUGUUGACACAAUGUGAUUUCUGCCCAGUGCUCUGAAUGUCAAAGUGAAGAAAUUCAAGUAAGCGCGGGUCAACGGCGGGAGUAACUAUGACUCUCUUAAGGUAGCCAAAUGCCUCGUCAUCUAAUUAGUGACGCGCAUGAAUGGAUUAACGAGAUUCCUACUGUCCCUAUCUACUAUCUAGCGAAACCACAGCCAAGGGAACGGGCUUGGAAUAAUUAGCGGGGAAAGAAGACCCUUUUGAGCUUGACUCUAAUCUGGCAGUGUAAG